AACGAACGCUGGCGGCAGGCCUAACACAUGCAAGUCGAACGGGUCCUUCGGGACUAGUGGCGGACGAGUGAGUAACGCGUGGGAACGUGCCCUUUGGAUCGGAAUAGCCCUGGGAAACUGGGAGUAAUACCGGAUGAGCCCUACGGGGGAAAGAUUUAUCGCCAAAGGAUCGGCCCGCGUUGGAUUAGGUAGUUGGUGGGGUAAUGGCCUACCAAGCCGACGAUCCAUAGCUGGUUUGAGAGGAUGAUCAGCCACACUGGGACUGAGACACGGCCCAGACUCCUACGGGAGGCAGCAGUGGGGAAUCUUAGACAAUGGGGGAAACCCUGAUCUAGCCAUGCCGCGUGAUCGAUGAAGGCCUUAGGGUUGUAAAGAUCUUUCAGUGGGGAAGAUAAUGACGGUACCCACAGAAGAAGCCCCGGCUAACUCCGUGCCAGCCGCCGCUGUAA
rnacentral:rRNA from 1 species